rnacentral:rRNA from 1 species
UACGAAGGGUGCAAACGUUGCUCGGAAUUAUUGGGCGUAAAGCGCACGUAGGCGGCUUUGCAAGUCCCAUGUGAAAUCCCCGGGCUUAACCUGGGAACUGCAUUUGUGACUGCAUAGCUAGAGUACGGUAGAGGGGGAUGGAAUUCCGCGUGUAGCAGUGAAAUGCGUAGAUAUGCGGAGGAACACCGAUGGCGAAGGCAAUCCCCUGGACCUGUACUGACGCUCAUGCACGAAAGCGUGGGGAGCAAACAGG